rnacentral:rRNA from 1 species
AGAGUUUGAUCAUGGCUCAGGAUGAACGCUAGCGGCAGGCUUAACACAUGCAAGUCGAGGGGCAGCGGGGUGUAGCAAUACACUGCCGGCGACCGGCGCACGGGUGCGUAACGCGUAUGCAACCUACCCAUAACAGGGGCAUAACACUGAGAAAUUGGUACUAAUACCCCAUAACAUCAGGACCGGCAUCGGUUCUGGUUGAAAACUCCGGUGGUUAUGGAUGGGCAUGCGUUGUAUUAGGUGGUUGGUG